rnacentral:rRNA from 1 species
UACGGGGGGGGGCAAGCGUUGUUCGGAAUUACUGGGCGUAAAGAGCGUGUAGGCGGCCAGGUAGGUCUGCUGUGAAAACUCGAGGCUCAACCUCGAGACGUCGGCGGAAACCAUCUGGCUAGAGUCCGGAAGAGGAGAGUGGAAUUCCUGGUGUAGCGGUGAAAUGCGCAGAUAUCAGGAAGAACACCCGUGGCGAAGGCGGUUCUCUGGAACGCAACUGACGCUGAGACGCGAAAGCGUGGGGAGCAAACAGG